UAGGAGGAGCAGAAAGGAAGAGCAAAGAAAACAUGAAAGUCAUGUGAGACAUUUGAGGGCGCAAACGGGGAAUUCAGCUAACAUUCAAAAAAGAUGAGGAAGUAAGCCCCUGCAAAGACGGCUGUUUUCUCUUCAUGACCUGAACGUGACUUCUUUAUUGCUUCUAUGACUCGCGACAUGCCUGACUCACAUCUUCCUCAGAUGGGGCAACUUUUUGAAGAUCCCUGUCGCCUCGAGGACAGUAAAUUCAUUGUUGUUCAGACGCCUGAGGGGAACGAGAGAGAGAAACAGAGACAGAAAUGCUUGAGAGGAGAACCACAAGGAAGAAGGAGAUAGAGAUGAAGGCUGAUGCAAUCUCUUCGGAAAGCCGCACGGUGAUGGAUGAACUUGUUUCUUAUAAGAAGAAAAGGCCCCGGCUGGGAUCACCUUGAUGGCGUUCUGCUCCAAUCGUCUGGAACCAAACAUACACAGACCAUUGAUGGAUGAUCAUUUGACAUGAAAAUUUUUUCGCUAUUCUUAAUUACGGAGGGUGCUUUGGAGGCCGCCGGCAUUGCACAAAUAAUUUGUGAUACUCUAAGUCCCUUUGAUGAUGGCUGCCAAAGUUUAGGGAGGUUCUCCAGUGACAGAGCAUUUGCAAAACAUUUUGCAUCACUGUGAUGAGAGCUACCAGUUGCAAGCCAACUACUGGGCUGUGAAAUAUUGCCUGCCAGUGAGUUUGUUUUACAUUUACACUGCAUCGCAUUGCUGUGCAUUCACGGCGCUGUUGUGCCUGCACCAUGGCAGUUUUAUUUUCAUUGUAAGAAAAUGUUUUGUGGAGCGGAUUUGAAUGAUUUUGAUCGGAUUUGGCGGCAGAGCCAGGAAACAAGAGUUCAUCCCACAAAGGCAAGGAAUCAUCUCCUAUUUUCAUCAUUUCUGCACAUACAGUAGAUCAUCGCUAUUAAGAUCCAUCGUCAUGAAUUUUGACCACCCGACUAUUAGUGGUAAAACGAUGGCUCCAAAACGCCAGUGGUGUGUUUUAAGACGCCAAAUGUGUGCAUGCAAUCAGAGCACUGGAAUAUGGCUGCCAGUCAUAAACUGAAGUCUGCAUUC